ACCAAAAACAUCUCUUGAAAAACAUAAGAGGUCCAGCCGCCAGUGAUUAUGUUCAACGGCCGCGGUAUCUACCGUGCGAAGGAGCAUGUUUUUAAAAGGAUGUUGAAGGCAUCCGAGGGUUAUACUGUCUCCUUUUUCUAAUCAUGAAACUAAUCUUCCCGUGAAGAAGCGGGAAUAAUUUUAUAAGACGAGAAGACCCUAUGGAGCUUUAAAUAAACAACAAAUAUCUACUUAUCUAAAUUAAGAAAACCAAAAUUAUCAGAUAUAUGAUUGCUAGUUUUAGGUUGGGGUGACCAUGGAGAACAAUACAACCCCCAUGUCGAAAUGAUUUUAAAAUUAGCUGCGAGUAACAACUCCAGCAUCAACACCUUGACGUCAAUUGACCCAAUUUUUAUCAAGAACCAAGUUCCCUGAUACAGCGCAUCCACUUCAAGACUCAAUACUACGACCUCGAUGUUGGAUCAGGAUAUCCAGUGGUGCAGCCGCUACAAGGUUCGUUUGUUCAACGAUAAAAUCCUACUGAUCUGACAGACGG
rnacentral:rRNA from 1 species